CCCAGCUUGGUUUAUAUUCAGAUCCUCACAAAUCUGCGGGCUGGGCUUGGCUGUCCUUGGCCUUUCUCAGAUACAGUUAUGCACCGGAAACCUACUGACAAAGCAAACACACAAAGUUCGACAUAGAUCAUUCUCCCUGCGAGAGGAAGUCCGACUUCUGCACGUACAUAGCAUUGAGCGCGGCCUCUUUCCUGUUUUUGAGCAGAGCACGACACACAACGCAAAGCUUUUUCAACAGCGCCUUUGCAUGCUAGUUUCACUAAAUAUAAAAGAAGAAGCUGCUCUUUUGAACUCACCGAGCAGCGUGCCGCGCUGCACAGCCUACUCAGUAAGAUGGCUUCAGACGCCAAGGGGAUUAUUGUCCGACAGAUCCUCACCACUAGCCUCAAGAAACUGAACCCAGAUCAAUUUGAAAAGUUCAAACAUUUGCUGUGCAAGACACCCAUGAAUGAGCUUGUCUGUGAACUUGAUUACUGCGACAAACCCAAUACCUUCCCGAGGGACGCCAGCCUGAAAGAGGUUGUCGAGGCUUUGAUACAGAAUUUGGGCCGGACUUACGCCUUGAGGGCAGCUGCGACAGUGAUGGAAAAGGUACCGCAAAGGGAACUUGCUCAAGAUCUCGGCAGAGAAGCGGAAGCCCUGGAACCGACCCACCAUGGAUUGAAAAAAAAACCAAAAGGAAAACUAGGUUUAGCACUUAUAGUAACUGGAACUGGAACUGGAAUUCUAGCUGCAGCAGGAUAUUUUGCAGCAUCAGCAGCUGGAGGACCUGUAAUGGUACCAUUAAUAACAAUAGCAAUAACAUCAGGUGCAGCAAUAGUGGAGGGAAUAAAAUUACUCCGUAACUGACCGUGAAGCCGCUGUAGGUAAGUGGUCCUGCAAUUCCCGCCCCUGAGUUCACCCUGCGUUUCUCGGAGCCGCUCCCUUGGGGGGAGCGUUAUAACGGGGGCUGCUGAUAUGCCCUGGCUUUUUUUAAAAUCACAAAUCGCAGAGCGGCCCGGGUAAAUGUAGUGAAAGCAAAAGGAGAUUGAGCAAUCGGGGAGGGGGUCAGAGAAGAGCCAGGAGGAUGAUUCAAGGGUUAGAAACCCUGCCUGAGAGCGAGAGACGCCGGAGCUCCAGCUAUUGUGUUUAACGAAGAGAAGGGUUGAAGCAGGGAAGCUCCGGGGCCACGCGCGGCUUUGCAGAGGUUAAUACGCGGCUCCUUGUCUAGGCACCGACUCCGGGGCUGGAGCUACGGGCGCCAACUUUCCAGUGUGCCGGGGGGCGGGGGGGCUCACUGCUCAACCCCUGGCUCUGCCCCAGGCCCUGCCCCCACUCCACCCCUUCCUGCCCCCUCGCCUGAGCCUGCCGUGCCCUCACUCCUUCCCCCUCCUCCCCAGAGCCUCCUGCACGCCACGAAACAGCUGAUCGGGAGGUGCGGGGAGGGAGGGGAAGGCGCUGAUCGGCGGGGCUGGCGGGGGGCAGGCCGCGCUGGGAACGGGGUGGGGGGCUGCUGACGUGUCACGGUGGCUCUUUGGCAAUGUCCAUCGGUAAGUUCUGGCUCCUUCUCUGGCUCAGGCGGGCCACCCCUGGUUUAAAGGCUGACUUGAUCCCAGGCUAGAAGUACUGAGGGAGGGGAACAAAUAUUUAAUAAGGGGCCCGUCAGUCCAGCACUGGGAGGUCGAACCAGAUCCAAUGGCUUGAAAGUUGAAGCCAGACAAAUUCAGCCUGGGAAUAAGGGGUCCGUUUCUAACGGCGAGAGUCAUUGGGACAGUUGACUGAGGGGCACGGUGGAUUCUCCGUCACUGGCCAUUUUUCAAUCAAGCUGGGAUGUUUUUCUACCCGAUCUGCGCUAGGAAUUGCUUUGGGGCACUAGUCACUUCUAGGUCAGACUACAUGGUCACAAGGGUCCCAUCUGGCCUUGGCUUCUAGGAAGAAAAGUCACAGGUUUAGUGGGAAAGUCACCAUCUGCUAUUUGCCCCGAGCCCCGUGACUUGUAUUAAAUUCACCAGGAUGGCUCCGUGAUCUGUGAUAAGAAAGUGCUGUGACAAAUGAAAUUCAGCGAUACCUCUUUAAAAUAAUUUGUGAGUGUCCGUCUCCUCCUUGUCCUCUGCGGCCUCCUCCUCGCAGCCCCCGCUGAGGGUGGUCAGCACCCCCUCACUCAACUUUGAAAGUCUCAGACAAACGGCAAAGUCCUGGCCUCUGUGACAUAUUCAGCGCUGUGGCAAACCUGCUGCCCUAAUUAAACCCUCUUUUUGCAAAACGAAACAACCAUAUUACCACACUCCACCCCAGAACCAGCUGCAUCUCAGCACCAGGUGAGCUAUCUCUGUGCGGCUGCCCAGACCCCGACCGAGAUCAGGGCCCCGUCAUGCCAGGAGCUGCCCAGACCCCGACUGAGAUCAGGGCCCCUCAUCAUGCCAGGAGCUGCCCAGACCCCGACCGAGAUCAGGGCCCCAUCAUGCCAGGAGCUGCCCAGACCCCGACCGAGAUCAGGGCCCCUCAUCAUGCCAGGAGCUGCCCAGACCCCGAUCGAGAUCAGGGCCCCUCAUCAUGCCAGGCGCUGCCCAGACACCCAUUAUUUUAACUGAAAUGAAAGUUUUUUCAAUGAAACAAACAAUUUAAAAAACUGCAUCGCAAAUACGUUUUGCCCAUCACAGGACAAGGAAACCAUCUGGAAGGAACUGAAACCUGUUUGUUUCCAUUCGAAAGUUUUCAUGCAGCAUCUUCUUUGCGGGCACCAAUUUAGUCCCGACGGUAACUGGAGACUUUGUGUUUCUCUCGACGCCGGUUUCUCUUGCACCCUUAUCUAAGAUUUUCCCUUCACUUCAUCCUGCCCCCGGCUUCCUUCGAAGACAUCCCGGAGUUGGAAACCACAGCCGCAAGUUUGCUGAUCCUAGCCCUCUAUAGAAUUAGAUAAACCAGCAAUUGCUUCCCACGCCUGCCUGCGAGCAAUUCAUAUUCUUGCACCUUCCUGCUCUGUGCCUGGCUGCUCGGGUGUUGGAAACCCGCAAAGACGGCUGGAAUUUUUCCCAGAAAAAAAAAGGGGAGGUCAAAUAAAACACCCUUUUUAAUACA